AACUCCUGAUAGUUCCCAGUUUUCAAAAGAAGUGCAAGAAGAGCGGCACAUUUGUUUACUUCGAUCAGUCCUUGGUGCAUGAUUUAGUCCUGCCAUGGUCUGUUUAUAAGGUGGCUGCAUGGGAGAACAUCAGAAGCAUGUGGCGUUUCACUGAGAUGGAAAGCCUUAAAAGGCUACCAAAAGUGGAGGUUUCCAAAAAUGUCGAUUGCAACAUCCAAACCACCAGAUGAAACACUUCUUCUUCAGGAGCGAGGGAUCUUCUUGCAAGAUAAGUUUGCUACGAAAAGGGAUUUCCAGAAAUGAUUCGCGAAGGCAAACAACUUCAAC